rnacentral:lncRNA from 1 species
CCGCGACCUACACGCACCGCCGAGAUACAUCUCCUGACACCGCCAAGAAACUCAACACGGUGCAUGCCAUGGUGUAGUCAAACACCGAGAUCCAGCUUGAGGGAAGGCAGCUCCUUGACGAGACACCAAGACGAACGAGUGAACACCAACCACCUACCACACCGACAGAGACCCAUCAUACAGAUCCAAGCCGGGUGAGUUUGAUAUGUAACUCACGCGCCUAUACCUCUGGCCAAAAGACAGAUUGACGAAGAGAUCUGAAAACCUCAA